GGUGCAACCUGCGGAAGGAUCAUUG
rnacentral:rRNA from 1 species